rnacentral:misc_RNA from 1 species
GAUGAAGAACGUAGUGAAAUGCGAUAAGUAAUGUGAAUUGCAGAAUUCAGUGAAUCAUCGAAUCUUUGAACGCACAUUGCGCCCGCCAGUAUUCUGGCGGGCAUGCCUGUUCGAGCGUCAUUACAACCCUCAGGCCCCCGGGCCUGGCGUUGGGGAUCGGGGAAGCCCCCUGCGGGCACAACGCCGUCCCCCAAAUACAGUGGCGGUCCCGCCGCAGCUUCCAUUGCGUAGUAGCUAACACCUCGCAACUGGAGAGCGGCGCGGCCACGCCGUAAAACACCCAACUUCUGAAUGUUGACCUCGAAUCAGGUAGGAAUACCCGCUGAACUUAAGCAUAUCAAUAGCGGAGGA